AGCUAUUUUGAAAAUUCUUUCAACUGUCAUCGACUCCACAAGCUUAUUUCGCCAGAAUCCAAGCAUACAACAAACAAGUAGGAUCAAACACUCACUGAAAUUCUCACGAGGCUUCGUGGAUCGUGAGGACUAACACUGCUAUUCCGAUUCAGAGAUAAGAUUAAACGACAGGCAUUGCCUAUACAGGUGUGCUUAUUUUCCAAAUGUAUGAUUGACCUAAUGAGCUUAAAUGUUUCAUAAAAUACAAACUGUUUAUCCAAUAAAUAUUUUUCUGCACUCUACCAUGUUUAAGGCUCGCACAGUUAAUCAAUUGAGGUUCUCUUAUGACCUAACACGUUGUUUGAGAAUUGUGUACACUUGUUAGCUGAUUCGGUGGGUUGAUCUUCAUCGGGCACUAACCAGAGGCGUUAUAAGGGUGCUCGGCUGGAUGUGUUCCGGAGCAUGAGAAAUAUGAGACCUGCCUGGAUAGCGUCCCGAGGUCAAAGUAAACUUGUCUGGGUUACGCCCUCAGUUCAAGUAAGCGAGAGACAGAGAUCCGUUGGUGGCUAAAAGUUAACGGCUGGUGUUGACCGGGCAGAGCUGAGGCUAGAGUUCAAUCUCGUAUUUUGACUUCCGCUGUAGUAAUAGCCUUUAUUUGUCUUUCGUUUUCAUGACUUAAGACAUUUAUGCCAUGACUCUAAACGAUAUCUUUUGUUGAGCCUAGACUAUUAACUCUCAAGUAUUUCGAUUAAGGAAUGUUUGUUAUCUGAAGCAUGAAACUAAA